UGGGGAAUAUUGGACAAUGGGCGAAAGCCUGAUCCAGCCAUGCCGCGUGAGUGACGAAGGCCUUAGGGUUGUAAAGCUCUUUUGGCGGGGAAGAUAAUGACGGUACCCGCAGAAUAAGCUCCGGCUAACUUCGUGCCAGCAGCCGCGGUAAUACGAAGGGAGCUAGCGUUGUUCGGAAUCACUGGGCGUAAAGCGCACGUAGGCGGAUUGUUUAGUCAGGGGUGAAAUCCCGGGGCUCAACCUCGGAACUGCCUUUGAUACUGGCAAUCUCGAGUCCGAUAGAGGUGGGUGGAAUUCCUAGUGUAGAGGUGAAAUUCGUAGAUAUUAGGAAGAACACCGGUGGCGAAGGCGGCCCACUGGAUCGGUACCGACGCUGAGGUGCGAAAGCGUGGGGAGCAAACAGGAUUAGAUACCCCCGUAGUCCCUGAGCGGGCUGGCAAGGCGCAU
rnacentral:rRNA from 1 species